rnacentral:rRNA from 1 species
GAUGAACGCUGGCGGCGUGCCUAAUACAUGCAAGUCGAGCGAACAGACGAGGAGCUUGCUCCUCUGACGUUAGCGGCGGACGGGUGAGUAACACGUGGAUAACCUACCUAUAAGACUGGGAUAACUUCGGGAAACCGGAGCUAAUACCGGAUAAUAUAUUGAACCGCAUGGUUCAAUAGUGAAAGACGGUUUUGCUGUCACUUAUAGACGGAUCCGCGCCGCAUUAGCUAGUUGGUAAGGUAACGGCCUACCAAGGCAACGAUGCGUAGCCGACCUGAGAGGGUGAUCGGCCACACUGGAACUGAGACACGGUCCAGACUCCUACGGGAGGCAGCAGUAGGGAAUCUUCCGCAAUGGGCGAAAGCCUGACGGAGCAACGCCGCGUGAGUGAUGAAGGUCUUCGGAUCGUAAAACUCUGUUAUUAGGGAAGAACAAAUGUGUAAGUAACUAUGCACGUCUUGACGGUACCUAAUCAGAAAGCCACGGCUAACUACGUG